rnacentral:rRNA from 1 species
GCUUGUCUCAAAGAUUAAGCCAUGCAUGUUCAAGUAUAGCAAGUGUACAGUGAAACUGCGAAUGGCUCAUUAAAUCAGUUAUAAUUUAUUUGAUAGUGAAAUUGUACAUGGAUAACCGUGGCAAUUCUAGGGCUAAUACAUGCGUCAAUGGUCGGUCGACCAGUAUUUAUUAGAUACAAAGCCAGCCGUCAGGAUCAGGUGAAUCAUGAUAACCAAACGAAUCGCAAGCGCAAGCGGCGAUGGUUCAUUCAAAUUUCUGCCCUAUCAACUGUCGACUGUGAUAUAGACGCUCACAGUGGUUUUGACGGGUAACGGGGAAUCAGGGUUCGAUUCCGGAGAGGGAGCCUUAAAAACGGCUACCACAUCCAAGGAAGGCAGCAGG